CGUCUGCACAGGGGAAACCCAUAGUAUCCAGGGUAACAUUUAUCACAGCGCCGGCCAGUUACUCCAUCUCGACACGAGCACUGACCAGUUGUCUGGUCACAAAGUUCAGCAGUAGAGCCAGAUGGAUCACAGUCACAUGCUAGAAAGAGGAAAGAAUUUCAUACAUUUGGGACAAUGUGAGGAGCCUGAAAGAGUAAACAUUUUGUUGGAUGGUUCUUUUGGACAACGUCCAUCCCCUGAUCCAAGUGAUACAACAUUCACAAUAGCUGUCCAAUCAUCGGUGGACUGCAAAGAUAAAGUUUACAAUACAUAAA